CCUUUCUUCAUGGUAAGAAUGAGGAACAUUUUUUAGGUGACGUUCCAGAGAUGAAGUGUUCUCCAGGUUUUGUGACUGUAGUAGUCCUAAUGCUUGGACAAACACAUGGAGACUCAGUGACUCAGACUGAGGGUCAAAUGACCCUCUCAGAAGGAGCUUCCCUGACUAUAAACUGUACUUUUUCAACAACAUGGUCCCCCACUGUUUUUUGGUAUGUCCAAUAUCCAGGAGAAGGUCUAGAGCUCCUCCUGAAAGCCUUGAAGGACGAAGAGACGAAACACAACAAAGGUUUUGAAGCCACCUUCAACAGCAAAUCCAAAUCCUUCCAUUUGGAGAAAGGCUCAGUGCAAGCCUCAGAUUCAGCUGUGUACUACUGUGCCAUGAAUGACACAGUGACGGGGACUGUAGGGGGAGCUGAGCGCAAACUCUGA